AACGUAGGAGACAAACGUUAUCCGGAGUUACUGGGCGUAAAGGGCGUGUAGGUGGUUCUGUAAGUCUGGCGUGAAAUUUCUCGGCUUAACCGAGGCAGGUCGUCGGAUACUGCAGGGCUAGAGGACGGUAGAGGCGUGUGGAAUUCCGGGUGUAGUGGUGAAAUGCGUAGAGAUCCGGAGGAACACCAGUGGCGAAGGCGGGUCUCUGGGCCGGAUAU
rnacentral:rRNA from 1 species